UUUUAUUUGAGAGUUUGAUCCUGGCUCAGGAUGAACGCUGGCGGCGUGCCUAACACAUGCAAGUUGAGCGAUUUACUUCGGUAAAGAGCGGCGGACGGGUGAGUAACGCGUGGGUAACCUACCCUGUACACACGGAUAACAUACCGAAAGGUAUGCUAAUACGGGAUAAUAUAUUUGAGAGGCAUCUCUUAAAUAUCAAAGGUGAGCCAGUACAGGAUGGACCCGCGUCUGAUUAGCUAGUUGGUAAGGUAACGGCUUACCAAGGCGACGAUCAGUAGCCGACCUGAGAGGGUGAUCGGCCACAUUGGAACUGAGACACGGUCCAAACUCCUACGGGAGGCAGCAGUGGGGAAUAUUGCACAAUGGGCGAAAGCCUGAUGCAGCAACGCCGCGUGAGUGAUGAAGGCCUUCGGGUCGUAAAACUCUGUCCUCAAG
rnacentral:rRNA from 1 species